rnacentral:rRNA from 1 species
UACAGAGGGUGCAAGCGUUGUUCGGAAUUAUUGGGCGUAAAGCGCGUGUAGGCGGCAUGGCAAGUCGGGUGUGAAAGCCCUCAGCUUAACUGAGGAAGUGCGCCCGAAACUGCCGUGCUUGAGUGCCGGAGAGGGUGGCGGAAUUCCCCAAGUAGAGGUGAAAUUCGUAGAUAUCGUUUGGAACGCCAAUGGUGAAAACAGACAGCUGGGAGUGUGCUGACGCUGAGACACGAAAGCCAGGGGAGCGAACGGG